rnacentral:rRNA from 1 species
GACGUACGCUGGCGGCGCGCUUAACACAUGCAAGUCGAACGGAAAGGCCUGCUUUCCCUUGUGGAUUGCGGGUACUCGAGUGGCGAACGGGUGAGUGACACGUGAGUGAUCUGCCCCCAACUUGGGUAUAAGCCUGGGAAACUGGGUCUAAUUCCCGAUAGGACUGCAGGGUGGUGCCUGUGGUGGAAAACGAUUUUCUAGUGGUUGGGGAUGAGCUCGCGGCCUAUCAGCUUGUUGGUGGGGUAAUGGCCUACCAAGGCGGCGACGGGUAGCCGGCCUGAGAGGGUGGACGGCCACAUUGGGACUGAGAUACGGCCCAGACGCCUACGGGAGGCAGCAGUGGGGAAUAUUGCACAAUGGGCGGAAGCCUGAUGCAGCGACGCCGCGUGGGGGAUGACGGCCUUCGGGUUGUAAACUCCUUUCGACCGCGAGGAAGCCACCUGGUUGGAAGGGUGGUGACGGUAGUGGCAGAAGAAGCACCGGCUAACUACGUG